AGUGAACGCUGGCGGUAGGCCUAACACAUGCAAGUCGAACGGCGGCACAGUAAGAGCUUGCUCUUACGGGUGGCGAGUGGCGGACGGGUGAGGAAUACAUCGGAAUCUACUUUUUCGUGGGGGAUAACGUAGGGAAACUUACGCUAAUACCGCAUACGACCUACGGGUGAAAGCAGGGGAUCUUCGGACCUUGCGCGAUUGAAUGAGCCGAUGUCGGAUUAGCUAGUUGGCGGGGUAAAGGCCCACCAAGGCGACGAUCCGUAGCUGGUCUGAGAGGAUGAUCAGCCACACUGGAACUGAGACACGGUCCAGACUCCUACGGGAGGAAGCAGUGGGGAAUAUUGGACAAUGGGCGCAAGCCUGAUCCAGCCAUACCGCGUGGGUGAAGAAGGCCUUAGGGUUGUAAAGCCCUUUUGUUGGGAAAGAAAAGCAGCAGGUUAAUACCCCGCUGUUCUGACGGUACCCAAAGAAUAAGCACCGGCUAACUUCGUG
rnacentral:rRNA from 1 species